rnacentral:tRNA from 1 species
AAGAGACUUAGGUUAACCUACAAACCAGGAGCCUUCAAAGCCCCAAACAAGAACUAGACCCUCUUAGUCUC